rnacentral:rRNA from 1 species
GACGAACGCUGGCGGCGUGCUUAACACAUGCAAGUCGAACGGAAAGGCCCUGCUUGCAGGGUGCUCGAGUGGCGAACGGGUGAGUAACACGUGGGUGAUCUGCCCCUUAUUUUGGGAUAAGCCUUGGAAACUGGGUCUAAUACUGGAUAGGACCAUGCUGUAGGUGGUGUGGUGGAAAGAUUAGUUUCGGUAAGGGAUGAGCUCGCGGCCUAUCAGCUUGUUGGUGGGGUAAUGGCCUACCAAGGCGUCGACGGGUAGCCGGCCUGAGAGGGUGGACGGCCACAUUGGGACUGAGAUACGGCCCAGACUCCUACGGGAGGCAGCAGUGGGGAAUAUUGCACAAUGGGCGCAAGCCUGAUGCAGCGACGCCGCGUGGGGGAUGACGGCCUUCGGGUUGUAAACUCCUUUCAGCCAUGACGAAGCCCUUGUGGUGACGGUAGUGGUAGAAGAAGCACCGGCUAACUACGUG